GACGAACGCUGGCGGCGUGCUUAACACAUGCAAGUCGAACGGAAAGGCCCUGCUUUUGUGGGGUGCUCGAGUGGCGAACGGGUGAGUAACACGUGAGUAACCUGCCCUUGACUUUGGGAUAACUUCAGGAAACUGGGGCUAAUACCGGAUAGGAGCUCCUGCUGCAUGGUGGGGGUUGGACAGUUUCGGCGGUUGGGGAUGGACUCGCGGCUUAUCAGCUUGUUGGUGGGGUAGUGGCUUACCAAGGCUUUGACGGGUAGCCGGCCUGAGAGGGUGACCGGCCACAUUGGGACUGAGAUACGGCCCAGACUCCUACGGGAGGCAGCAGUGGGGAAUAUUGCACAAUGGGCGGAAGCCUGAUGCAGCAACGCCGCGUGCGGGAUGGCGGCCUUCGGGUUGUAAACCGCUUUCGCCUGUGACGAAGCGUGAGUGACGGUAAUGGGUAAAGAAGCACCGGCUAACUACGUG
rnacentral:rRNA from 1 species